CAGGUCACUGAAAAUGACUGAAUAUUAUUACUUGUCACACUCGCAAACAUGCAUUCACUUCUUACCAGAAAAAUCACUGAAACCCAACAAAAAUAAAAAUUCGACAUAAAAGAAGAAAGAAAGAAAGAAAGAAAGAAAGAAAGAAAGAAAGGAAAGAAAAGAAACCGUUUGGGUGUCGUGUAUUUCUCUAACCGCUGCUUACAAAUAGAGAGGAAUCCAACUGAGAGUUUAAGGAACUUUAUAAAUCCUGAAAGAUGUCUGUGGAAUCAAACAUAGCUGAGAAAACAGUGUGCGCGCAACAAAACAAAAUAAAAGCGGGGUAUUUCUUUUUUUAAAAAAAAUAAAUAAAUAAAAAGACUAAGCACGACAAGAAACUCCUCUGAAGUUACAAACUGUCCCUUAACACUUCUACCAUCUGUCAGAACAAAGGCAAUUUAAUUAGCUUAGGGGUCACAAAGAUAAUGAAACUUUAAAAAAAAAAAAAAAAAAAAAAAUCCAUUAAAUAAAAGACAAAGUCAUUUGCAAGGACACAGAAGCCUGUCGGACUAUUCUUGUAGGAAUCGGAGCUGUAACUGAAUGCUAGCUGCCUCAGCAUAAUCAGAGUUUUAAUGGGCUACUUGGCUUUUCACUAACACAAUGAUUAAAGAGAGAGAGAGAGAGAGAGAGAGAGAGAGAGAGAGAGAGAGAGAGAGAGAGAGAACAAGGUAAUGCAUUAUUCAUGACUUCGCUCGAAACUUUGUUGAUGUCAAGCAACAAUUUUUUUAACUUAAUUGCGAUAUCUACUGACUUGCACCUUGAAUCAUGAGCAACGUGUAGAUGCUGGUGAGAUGAAGCAUGAACGCCUCAGUGCCCAACUGAAGUGUUCUCCUUUGUGCCAUGCUCUCUUCACUUCUCAAUACUUCGCGCUCGUUCAUAGCACUUUGUACGCGCAGAUCUACCACCCUCAUGCUUUCUGUUUAAAAAAAAAAAAAAAAAGAUACCAUGUACAUGCUAUAAAGUUGUUUUAGGAGGCAUUAGUGAUAUUUUGAGAUUUUCCACAGAGCUUUGAUUUAAUUAUCACCACUUCUCAUGAAACACGUCCAUAAUUGCUGUAAUUUAACAC
ensembl:lncRNA